rnacentral:lncRNA from 1 species
CUCCUGAUAUCCUCUGGAGCACUAACCUUAAAACACUCAAACUUAUCCCAAAAGUUUGAUAGUUAGUUGAUACAGAUUUGACUUCAAUUGUAGUGGAUGGUUUUACCGAAUGGAAAUUUUUGGGUUGUCACAUCAUCCCCCCGUUAAAAUGAAUUUCGUCCCGAAAUUCGCUCUCUUAAUGUUACUACCGGCGGUUGAGCUCUUCUGCUUUGUAGAAUACUCACUCGUAGACCUGGCAACUUUGCCCUGGUGUUCUUGAUAGGAUUUAUACUUGGUCCAUCUAUCAUUACCUCGCGUAUACAAGCCGUAUAUAAUUAAGAUUAGUAGGACUGUCGGAUGUGCGACUCUGCCCCAGGUCCACAACCCACGGGGAAAACAGGAGAUAGGGCGGAAACACACAUACUACGUCUGCGUAAUCACACUCAUUUACCACCCUUGCGUAUACAUUCGAAAAUAAUAGGCGGGUUGUAUUCAUCCAUAGCCUCUAUGCCUGAACAUUGGUCUGCUGGACGAGUGGUAUUUUGUGACGGUUUGCGGACGUCUAACGAUAAGGCUUCAGAGGACAAAGUACUCUUCGCACAAGUACUUCGAGGGUUUAGAAUGCGAAAGAUAAAGUUUACGUUUUGGUCGGACCUUCGAUAUGAAAUGACCAAAGUUUCGAGAACUUGCUGAUCGAGGCGAUAGAAACAUAUGAACUCAGUAUGGUGAGGACCACGCCAACUCAUGACGAAUGAAAACAACGGACUCUAUACCGAACAAAGUUUUGGUCAAGUGAAAGAAACGUCUGAUAAACGACGAUGUAUCCCUGGUAUGAUUGGUAUCGUACUCCUAUUAUGUUCAACAAUGUACUCCUUGUAACUAUUCUCGAGUUUACUGUUUUCUAUUUUGAAAUUUGCACUCCUAUGUAUCGUACCGCUAUGUGCGCAUACAUACAAAUAAAAGUGGUUUACCUACUAAAGGGAUACUUUUAUACCAUGAUCCCAUAUGGUACCACUACCAUCGGCCGUCAUAUACAAGUUGCGAAUACUUAAGAUGAGCCAGGCAAUCGACUGAGCAUCUCUGCCUCAAAUCCUCAACCAAUUAAGGAAGGAGACCUAAGCGGAGUCACCCACUCUAAGUCUGUGACAUCUCAGUUGCGCACAACCCUGAUGUAUAUGGUGAGUCAUAAUAGCUUCUCUAAGGGAUCUUUUAGUUCUCUUGAAUAUUACCACCUAUUUCACCAUGUGAGUUGUUAUUGUUACUUUUAAGUGUCAUCCCCAAUUCUAAUCUUAUAUAAAUAUAAAUUAAUUUUUUUUAAAAGUAAGUACUAUUUUGAAAACGUACCACUACUCGUCGACGACUCCGAGGUAGAUUCUCCUGCGGUGAUCAUCAGAAUACAUCCAUCCGCGCCUGAGUUCUUGAUUAUUGGGCAGUCCCUCUUAAUGUGCCUAUUCUCACCACAACCAUAACAGGCUCGGUUUUCUUCAGCUCCGAGGACUUAGGAGAUCGGUUGAGCCGGUGCCCUGCAGUAACGGACUGUGUGUCCUUUUCUGUGGCAGCUUAGACACUGCAUUUCUUAGCACACUCCAGUGUGGUGAAAGUUGCACUUUCCACACUUUGGAAGGUUUCCAGCAUAACGACUGGCAGAUGCUGAAGCAGUAGGCAUCGUAGCGGCGUACAUAGUACUCGCUUGUUGCUCUUGUGGGGUGUCUGGUGUUGUUCGCUUCUUCUUUCUCUUGUUCUCCGACUCCUGAUUAUAGUCCUCUUCCCUUGGCGACUCAGGAAUAGGGACUUUUACACUGUGGCGGACUCCAUGAUCGAUGAGUCGUUAAGCCAAGCGUUUAGCACUAGCGAACGUGGCUGGGUUAGAAGACAGCACAUUUCCUUGGGUCGGAGCUUUCAGACCCCAAAUGUAUCUAUCUAUCUUCUUCUUUUCCGGGGUAAUCAUCUCGGGACAUAGAGCUGCUAGUUCGAUGAACCGGUCCGUGUAGGUCACUAUGUCUGAGCUGACCAUAGUGAGAUCCCACAGCUCUUGUUCUAGCUUUUAGAUCUCGCCUAACGGGCCAUAUUCUUCCCGCAUUAACUGUUUUAGGUUUUCCCAACCUAUCGAGUUUGCCACUGAUAGGGUCAGUGACUUAAUAUGGCUGUUCCACCAUGUUACGGCCUUGCCAUCGAAGCUGCAAGCAGCAAACUUCACUUUGCUUCCUUCGGGGCAUAAACAGAUUUCGAAAAUCGACUUCGUUUUCUCGAACCAUUGGAGGAGGGUAAUGACUCCUUCAGUCCCUUUAAAGGAAAUUAGUUGGCACCUAGUGAAGUCCUUGUAGGAGAACUCUCCCUGGCGCACCAGGGCCUCACCUUGAGUAGAAUCGGUAGGGGCUUCGCCUCCACCUGUACUGGUGGAGUGAUAUUGUGCCAUGGUUGUUGCCAUAGCCUCGGCCACUACAGCAUUCAAAGUUGCUACAUUGAUUUGUGUUGAAGGUAUGGGAGUUAUCGGAGUAUCGUGUCUGGGUGAUCUGCGUGGAGGUAUUUUUGCUAAAAGAAAACAAAGAUGAGACGGAAUAAGUCUAUAGCAACGGACACAAGCCGAAAGCUGAAAAGACAAGGUUAUCCUAGUUUUGGAUGUAUCGGGUCCUGACUUCCACAGGGUUCUAGAAAUAAUUCAUAAAUGAGUCUAUACCAAAUAAACUCUAUAACUUUGAAAUAACUAUCCUCGAAUAAAUAUCUGUUUCCUGAAUAACUGUUACCAGUUGCAUGUAAUAAAAUAAUUCUAACACAUGUAAUGUGAGUAGUGUUUCCACUCGCUCGCUAAAUUAACCUAGUUAAUAUUUAUUAGUGUGACGCGUAAGACGUUUUUGGUUACUUCGGCUGAUCUUUCCUUGAAAUCUUCUCAUUGGUUUGUCCUUGUUCCUCCUGAACUCUUCUGUUGUCUACUAUGAGGAAGUGGUUACGUUUAUCCGGGCUUGUCGUGCGAGAAUGAAAGUGACUAAACAACCUAUGAGCUUUUAAGGUAACUUUAUGGGGUGAUCCUUACGGAAUCUUCCUAUAAUUAUACUAGGUAUACCAGUUGGUAUUGUAUAUAAUUGAAGAUAAAAUAGACCUUUGAACAAUUGAUCCCACCUCAACACUACUUCCUUAAAAGGAAUGGAUAGCAAUGCGUCAGUCACAAUUUCUAUGUCUAUAAGGUCUUGAUUAUAUAUAAAACUUUAUGAAUAUACCUUAUAAGAUUAUAGACCUAUCCGCAAGGGUCUUUUAAGUUAUCACAUAAGUUAUGUAUCUAGGCUAAAAUACUCCUAUAGUAUCCUAACGUAAUGUACUUGUUAUCUUCUAGACUUGUUAUCGUGCUAUCGUAUCAUAGAAUACUCCCAUAGUACUCUAACUCUAACUGUACUUGUUCUGGCGUUCUCUUGACUGGUGUUAUGGUAAGUUUUAAUCCUGUUGCAACACCACAUCAUUCCCAAACACAUGUUGGUCACAACUCAAAUGAAUAUAGUUGAUAAGGCUAUAUUGAUCCUAGCUAUGAUUAAAUAACUGUUCGGGUUGACGAUAGUGUCCAACCUCUAAAUACUUUGAGUUCUGUUCUCCUCGUGAUCCCAGUUCUAUUAUGUACAUGUAUGAGCAAGUCGGUAUAUUUUUAUAACUUGUAGUUAUACUCUAAAAUAUAUCAUUAUCCAAAGCACUUAAGCCCCAUUGUAUUUAUAGACGUAUAUCUUUUAUCGGUUGAUAUACUUAGUUCACUAUAAACAAUGCUCUGAUACCAAUGUGUCACACCCCAAAACCGGAACGGCGGAAACGUUCGGGGGUGGAGGACGUCAUGUCAAGUAUCACGAGAUAUGUAUAUGGUAAGCAAGUAAUGAACAACCAUUUCAUUUAGAAAGAAAGUGUUUACAAUGUAUGUGUUCACAAAACAUAGAAGUCAUAAACAAAUAACAAAACAAGACUUGAAGCUAUAAUGCUCCAUCUUCUGAAGUCCCAACACGAGCACAUGUCUAAUAGUCUCCUGAGAAUACAAGUUAUUUGAAAGAGUUGAUCAGCAAUUAAGUUAGUGAGUUCAUAAGAAUUUAGUGAUGUAAGUAAGCUGUAAAAACGAGGUUGAAAAUGUAUAUGUAAAGUACUGUAAGCUGUAAGGUGUUGUUUUGUAAGGUUUGCCUGUUCCUCUAGAAAAUCAUAUAUUUCCUACUUAAAAUGGGAGUUAAGUAAAAUGACACUACAAGCCUUUAUAUGCGUAAUAAGUGGGUACAAGUUAUAUAUACUUGGAGUAAACAAACAAUCGAUUAUGCGCAUCUGCCCUCAACCUACAACCCGACGGGGUACAGUAAGUAAGGCGGAUAGCACAUAUUCCAUUGGUUGUUAGAUCGUUGUCAUAUAUAACCUUGGUGUAUUCACUUGUUACUCAUGGAGUUAUUUGUAAUGGUUCCUUUAUAUCUAAUGGAGAGUUCUUCUUAAGAAAACCUAUAUUUCUUAUAAUAAAAUAUUGACUAUGGUGAUUACUUUUAUAAUAGCUUUGUUUAUACUGCUAUAUAUAAUUUGAUAUCGGGUAGAUAGUAGAUUGGGUGACCUCAGUGUAAGGCCACAUCCAACGGGAACAGGACGUACAGCGAACAACACACAUCCUACUAGCUAUCGGAUACUAGUUUUAUAUAUAAACAUGGUGUAUAAACUAAGGUAUUAAAUAGUUAACUCACUUAAAGUCUUUAAAACUGUACUGGCUUAAUAAAAUGGAUUAAACCCUUAACUGGGAAAUCGCUAGUUUUGUAUAUCAAAAGUACUGACUUUGAAACGAAAGUUUUGUACAAGAAAAACUGUGAAUUGACUCUGUGUCCAAUGACCUAAUCCAUACCUGGUACCCUUAUGAUGACUUAAUGUAUACUAAGCAUAUAUAUAUAUAUAUAUAUNAUCCAUACCUGGUACCCUUAUGAUGACUUAAUGUAUACUAAGCAUAAAUAUAUAUAGAUUUGGGUAGAUAAUAGAUUGGGUGACCUCGGUGUAAGCCUACAUCCAACGGGAACAAGACGUACAACGAAGAACACACAUCCUAUUAGCUAUCGGAAUCUAAUUAACAUAUAUGUAUCCUAUAGUGUAUACAUUACGGAAUCAUAAGGUUAGCAUCAUGGUCCUAACUUUUAAAAGUAGCCUUUUACCAAGAUUCGACUGUUUUGAAAGCAGUCUGCUACCAAGACUCUACUGUUAUGAAAGCAGUCUUCUACCAAGACUCUACUGUUAUUGUCAAUUGUAAAGUACAUUCUCCCUAGUUUAUAACCUACCUCGAAUAGAGAACAGAUUAACCUUCAAGUGUUACCGACACUUUAUGAAAGUAAUGGGAGGAAUGAGUACCCUGAUGUCGUUUAUAAUGACAUAUGGAGGUACUAUCAACCUAAAAACAUCUGUGAGUUUUAUUACGGUCAUAAUGCGAAAGCUAGAACCCCUACUAACCCGCUCUCAUGUAUGGAGAUUGAGGGAACCAUACGCGACUCGAGAAAAUCCAUGCAAGCCGUGUAUUUUACAUUAAAGUUAGAUCCUGUCUGCGUGUUAUCAUGCUAUAGCAAAUUUACUUGUUUGUUAUGUUCUGUUCUGGUAUUGUUUGAUUCUCUUCACUGUUUGUUCUGUUCUGUUCUGUUCUGUUCUGUGUGUGCUUCAUUGUACUAGAAGUAAUGAAUAGCAUCCUCCUAAACUAUACCUAUAAUAGUUUACUAAUGUUCUAACUGGACUGAUACUGAAAAGACUCAUUUAUCUACAAAGUUAUGCUUAUACUUUAAAAAUGGAGUUUUGUAUAACUAUAAAGUAACAUAACCUUUAAAAGAGUUUUGAAAUGUUUUAACAACUUAUAAAUAACAUAAGUAACAUUUUGAAAGAUGUUUAUAACAAACAUUUACACAAUUAUCAUUGUGUUCAACUUGUAUUCCCCCCCUAAAAACAAUUAAAAUAGUUAAAAGAUUCAUUACGGGGUAUGAACUCACCUGAUGUGGGUGAUUCAAACGGGUAUGCGCGUACGGAUGAGAAGUUCCACGAAUGAAGUUCCGAGACACAAUAAGUCCUAAAUGAUAUUUAAGGACACAUAAUGACAUGAAUAUAGUGUUUAUAAACAACUAUAUGAAAGAUAACACCUUCCGGGACUAGGAAACACCUUGACCAAGUGUUGGAAUCACAUGUGAUUCAACAUAGGAAGGUAUAAGGGCACACUUAUGAGUUUACUACCAUGAGUUCACGGCCCAAGGGAGUUUACGGCCGUAAACUCAUGGUUACUCAUGGGUUAGUGCAAGUUUGAAAGCUAGGGAAUGUUUUAGGGACAUUAGCUUUAACCUAGGAUGAGAAAGACCACUUCUUUUGGCACUUUUGGGGUGUUCACGGCCCAAAUGAGUUUACUACCGUAAACUCAUGGCCAAAUAUACUUAUGAGGGUCCUAAAGGUCAUAAAGAAGCAUUCUAAAUUCAUGCCUAAGCCCUUGGAAGUGUUUGUGGCAUCAAAACACCUCUAUCUUGAGUUUACGGCCCAUGGACCAUUUGGUCAUGUGUUUGCGGCCGUAAACACUUAUGGGUGAUGAUAUUUUGAUUGUUUUGGGUCCUAGACACAUCAUGGUAAAGGGCUAUGCUUGUCUCUUGGCUUAUGGAAGGCAUUUAGGGCAUUUUGGCACCCUAAAAUGGAGUUCACGGCCCAAGAACUUCCUUGGCCGUGAACUCACUUCUAGCCUUGUUUCUUAAUGUUUUGGGGGUCUAAAACAAGUAAUGGUAGUCUCUAGGUUUAGUCCCAAGGCUUGGAGGGACAUUGGGCACACUUUGGCCCUUAUAAAGGAGUUUACUCUCCAAGAUGUUCUUGGGCGGUAAACUCCCAAAUCUUGUUGUUUUGGCUUGAUUUUCAUGUUAUUAAGGCAUAUAACACACUUAUAUACACUCUAGGUUGAAGUACUCACAGUUGGGGGUGAUCGGGUGAAGAUCCUUGAGAGAGAAAAUCGACUUUUCUCUAGCUAGAAAUGUAACAAAUGAAUCCAAAAUGGCUAAAUUUUCUUUAUAUAGCCUUGAGGGUUUUUGGUCCGAAUACCAUUUUUGGACUGUAAUAUUCCAAACUCUUGAAGGUUUGGGCACUUAUUUCAACAUAUUAAACCCUAGUGUAUCCUCUCUCCUGAUAUCCUCUGGAGCAAUAACCUUAAAACACUCAAACUUAACCCAAAAGUUUGAUAGUUAGUUGAUACAUAUUUGACUUCAAUUGUAGUGGAUGGUUUUACCGAAUGGAAAUUUUUGGGUUGUCACAGUUUAACGCUACAAUAUUGGAUAUUUAAGGAACAAAAUUUCGUACACAUUUGCCAUACUUUUAUAACAUGACCACAUGUUUUCACAUCAUACAGACACUACAUUUUAAAGUGACCAUAAGAGCCAUACGAUGGCGUCACCUUCCAUCACACUUUCAGUGAAAAAAUAAAAUGUCACUAUACGUAUAAGGUCACACUUUUUUUGUGUGACUGUAAGUCGUUUUUCUUGUAGUGGGACGAACCAAGAAUGGGGGUGGUGUUGAAUAUAUAUGAAAAAUCGAUCAAACUUCAACCAAUGAUCUGAAUAAAUCUGAAAAACCGAUAUGAAUAGAUCUGAAAAUCGAGCCACA